UUUCCGUAGGUGAACCUGCGGAAGGAUCAUUAUUGAAAUAAACCUGAUGGGUUGCUGCUGACUCUCUCGGGAGCAUGUGCACAUUUGUCAUCUUUAUGUCUCCACCUGUGCACCUUUUGUAGAUCUGGAUAUCUUUCUGAAUGCCUGCAUUCAGGUUUGAGGAUUGACUUGUCUUUCCUUACAUUUCCAGGCCUAUGUUUCUUCAUAUACACCAUGUAUGUUAUAGAAUGUAAUGAAAAGGGCCUUUGUGCCUACAAACUUAUACAACUUUCAGCAACGGAUCUCUUGGCUCUC
rnacentral:misc_RNA from 1 species